ensembl:lncRNA
AGACAAACUACAAAUAAAGGAGUUCAGCUUGACUGGGGUCAGGAGAUAAAGCUAGAGAGAACCAGAACCAGAGGGUGCAAUAACAGAGGUCAGCAUGGCUGGGACAUGUAGGAGCACUUGGAACUGAGCAAAGAAACCAUGUAUGAAAAUGUGACAGGGUGCGACAACAGAAGUCAGCACAGCUGUGGUGUAGGAGCACUCGGAACUCAAUCCCUUGCCCUACCACAGCAGAUCUUUUUGGUCUAACAUGCACCAGCAGUAACCUAGGAGGACGGACCAGCCAGGUGGCCCUCUGCUCAGUUGAAAAGCUGCUGAACAGACUUCAGAAGAAGUGUAAACGGCCAACAGAUGUAUGCAAAGACAUUCAGCAUCUUCAGCCUCAAGAGAAGUGCCAAGAACAAGCUUCGUGUAGAGGAAUGAUCACACCUACUGAUGAGGAAACAGGCUGAGGACAUUCUGUUGCCAAGGGACCGUGUGGCUUCUUACCACACAAGCAUUACUGUGGUUUGCUCUGUUUCGCCACGCUUGUAAGUCUCAAAGUUAUUGCUUCUAACGGUAAAUGUGUCCUCUGGAACUCAUGUCUCCUCCUUUUUCUCUUUUGGUCUUAAGUUAUAUCGGGAACCAGACUGUUCUUUUGGGGGGGGGGCGUAUUUUCAGCUUCAGAGUUUCUUUUUUUCCUCUCUAGACUUAGUUCAGUUUUUCAAACAUGUAAACAUUCAUAAUUUUCAAAAGUUAAAAAAAUUACGUUGGGAAGAUACCUACAGGGAGGCCUCAUGCUGUUGUCCCUCAACAGACUGUCCCUGGGCCCACACAGCCAUGCUGUGUUUUCCUAGUGUCUUUGCUUCACUUUUUUAUGGCAUCAAAGGCACCCCUGUGCCGUUGGCCAGUUGUUGGUUUCCUGCAUGUCCUGACAGUCCCUUUUGGCAGGCAUCCUUAGCCUCUCCUGCUUUUCACUUGGGUGGAUGGAGCUAGGCUCAGGCCUCCCACAGCCUCUGACAGACAGUCUGCCUAUGGCAAGCAGCUUCCCAAGAAGAAUCCUUGUGCGUGUUGAGUGGUGUCUGUGGAUUGAAAUUUGUGGGUAAAGUUUAAUUCGGGAUUGCAGGGUUCAGGAACAAAGCUAUAUCUAACUCACAAAAGGCUGUCAAAUUCUGCCCUCCAGCCGGAGGGGCUAUCAGUACCCACCAGCGAAGUCUGAGAAUGGCAGUUCUCCAGAGGGGUUAAACUUUGGAUUUCUGGAAACUUUACAGAUGGAAGCCCUGGAGGGUCUUUUUUUAUACGUGUGCAAGAGCAUGCAGGGGUGUGGAGAGGGAGGCCAGCCCUAGAUUCCAUUCUCAGGAACACCACCCACAUUAGAGACAAGGUCUCUUUAUGGCCUGGAGCCCACCACCAGGUAAGGCUCCCUGGAACCCACCACCUAGGUAAGGCUCCCUGGAGCCCACCACCUAGGUAAGGCUCUCUGGAGCCCACCACCUAAGUAAGGCUCUCUGGAGCCCACCGCCUAGGUAAGGCUCUCUGGGCUCCAUCACCUAGGUAAGCCUCUCUGGCCAGCUACUGCAGAGCACCCUACUCCAAGCUCUGGGAUAAUCAGCAUGUACCACAAUACUCAGUGUUUUCGCGUGGCUUCUGGGUUCAAACUCAGGUCCUAGUGUUUGCAAGGCAAGUGAUUUCCUGAUUGAGCUGUCUCCACAGCCCCUGGAGAGUCUUGUUUGGGGGAUGAGCUAGGAGCUGGCCAUGUAGAUCUUUUAAAAAUCUCUACUGGUGUCUUUCACGCCUAACUGGGGUUGAGCAUCUUUGAGUCAAGUGUGCCAGGUUCCUUUGCUGUUUCAAUAAGGGUGCCAACAUUGGAUGUCAUUAACAGUCUGGCAGGUUGAUUGAUUUGUUGGCUGCUUGGGAAAUGGGGGAGUAUAUUUCAUUUUGUUUUGAUUUUUAAGACAUGAUCUAUACAGCCCAGCUGGGCUGGGACUUACAAUGUCGUUUAGGUAAGCCUGGAACUCCUGAACCUCCUGCCUCUACUUCCCAAGGGCAACUCUGGCCAUGUGUCACUACAGCCAGCUACAAAGUAGUUUUCUUUCUUCUAAUUUGUCAUCAGUCUUUUCUUUCAACUCUUUUCUCCUGUUACAUGUGCUCCCUGCCUCCUAGCCUCAGCCUGCCCCUACCCUUGCCCCAGGAAGAGCCACUUUCCUGAGAUGUCAGAGCCUUGACUUACGUGGCUUUGGGAGGCAGUUGGAAGCACAUGCUGGUUUGGAGGCUGAGCGAAUACUAGAGUUUGCCUAAGAUGAAGACCUGUGUGCAGCAUGGGACGGGCCAUGUGCCACACUCUAGCCCUUGUCGUCUAGAACCAAAUCUUGCCAGCUUCUGCCUCGCUGUGCCCCACCACCUGCAUUGCCCACAGUUGUUAUGGGAAGGUGAGUGGGGUUUGGAAAUUGCUCUUCCUGGUGUGGAAGGUUGUUUGGUGAAGAGCCCUCAUCAGACCCUCCCCUGGAGAAGGUUCUGAACUUCAGUUUCCAGCAUCUCCCUGGUUCAUUCUUUGCAGCUGCCCCUCCUACCAGCAGCUAAAAUUCACAAACCAGAAAAGAGCUGUCUUCAAGGGUUAGUAGCAGCCAACAGUCUUCCCACAACCCCUCAAGAGCAGAGGAGAGUGCUGGCCAGUCCUGGCAUUGGGGAAAUCGGUCAUCACUGGUACAAGAUGAGUAGUAUCCACCCAGCUGUUUACCAAGAAAGCUCCAAGCCACCCCACCCUCAUUCCUUAGAUUGCUUAGUGAGUUUUCCAUUGACCUCCAGGCCUCCCCUUAAGACACAGCUUGGGAGAACACACUGCUCACUUCUUUGUGGUCGAUUAUAUCAGGCCCUGCCCCAGAAAGGGUGCAGAACUUAGGGUGCAUCCCCAAGGACAUCCCUGGGGUGCCUAUUACUUAGUUCAGCCCAGGCGGUGCCCAUCGUGACUGAGAGUUGGGAUGAAGGGCCCUCAGUGGCAUACCAUAAUGCAGUCUGUCUCUCAGAUGCCUGCAUUGGGAUGUGUGUGGUAAAGGUAUUCGGGCACCAGAAGCACGGCUGGGUGUGUUUGGUGGAAUAGUGGCACAUUCCACCCUGUGGAGGGGGAGCCAGUUCGCUGUCAUCCUCCUUUGGGGGCCAGGUUACAUGUGAAUCUUCAUUCACGGUUUUGAGCUCCCAUAAAGCUGCUUGUGCGUACAGUGGUAGUCUUUCCCCCGGGCCUCCUUGUCUGCCUUCCAUAGAGAUGAGUUUCAUUCUCUGUAACGUGGUCCCAGGAGAGAGGAUUAUGCCUACUGAGACAAUGGUAGCCUUCUGCUGGCCACCAUGAAAAAUGUGACCUCCACUACUUAUGACUUGUGAGUGUGGUGUUCCCUGGUGCUCUUCUUGGGGAUCUCCAUGCUGUGGAAUAAUCCCUGUGUACACUGUGAAAACUUGCUUACAUCUCUGUGCUCCUUGAGUCAGAGUUCAGCUUCUCCUAGCUCCUUGUCUUACCACUUGCCUGCAGGCCUGCAAGGUUUCCGAAAGACUUGACUCUGUGAAACUGUGUCUCCACAAUGUAAAACUCAAGCUCUGGAGCAGACUGGAAAGCUGGCAUUCCAAAGCCCUUUCCUGGAAGUAUUCUCAUCUCUCUCCAGAUAUUCCAGGAGCCUGAGGGAGUAAGCUAGAUGGAGCAGGUGCUCAGACAUCCCUCGUGUAUUACCAUGAAAAGGUGAGUCUGGGCCUGAGUCCCAAGACCACGUGGGCCUGGAAGCUGGGAAUAGUUUGAGGCCUCCCAGCUUUGGCUCAGCAGCUCUGGGCUGGCCUUGCUCACAAUGUUGUCUCAGGCUGGUGGCAUAAUGACAGGGCCUUGUUCCUCUCUGCCAUUGGAGGGAAGACAAACAAAAUGACAGACUUGGGCCAGUAGGUAAUGUCAUCUCUAUUGAAACUGAGACUCUCUGGUCCCAUCUGCAGUGUGAACUGCUUCUUGCUCAGGGUCAGUGGGCAUCUUUGGAUUAGGUUCCGUGGAGCAGUGGGAAUUAGGAAGGUAUCUUUGAUCCAGGUCAUUGGCCUGAGCUGUAACACCCUUUCCAGGUGGGAGGUGAGAAGCAAGGUAAGCAAAUGAGCUAGGUACAGGGAGACUGGCUAGAAGGGGUGGCCCACAGCCGGUGAUGAUGUGUGAAGAUCCUGAGGGCCUGACCCCACAUGCCCAUCUUCCCAUGCAUCCAACACCAACUGUGUGGUGAAGACAGACAUUCCCGACCCUAUAUCUAGUCUCCAGAGCUACAAGAAGAGAUGUGAUCCUUGUGAGUGUGUCCAGUGUUCCAGAGGCCAAGAGGAAGUUACUAUGUUACUCUGAGAGUUGGGCUAGCAAGACUCUAUGCCAGCAGUUUUCAACCUGUGUGUCAAGACUCCUUUGGGGGUCAAAUGACCCUUUCACAUGGGCCACCUAAGACAGUUGGAAAACACAGAUAUUUACAUCAUGAUUCACAACAGUAGCAAAAUUACAGUUACAAAAUGGCAAUGAAAUGAUUUUAUGGUUUGGAGUCACCACAUGAGGAAGGGUAUUAAAGGUUUGCAGCGUCAGGAAGUUUAUGCUGUGACUUCUCACUGUGUACAUGGUUUUUGACCACUCUGAAAGUUUGGGGGUCUACCCCUUGCCCCUUGUUGUUCUACAUGUGCCAUCACCUAUUAAACCAGCUACUACCCUGGGCCCAUGAAGUAUCCUGGCCUUUCUCUGAAGCCUGGGGCACCAGGCAGGUAAAAAUCAAUUCUGAUUAGCUGUCUCCUUUGCCCCUUCCACAGAGGGCCACAAGUCAUGUAUCCCCUGUGUUCCUCCCCCACCAAAGGUGUUGAUGAGGGAACUGUAUGAAGGCUGAUAACAAACCCACAGGUAAGCCUGGACUCUUGGUCACAGAGGUGACUAGCUGGAGAUAGAUGAGUGGCUGGAAGGUGAACAAACAGGAAGGAACGGUUGUCCUGCCAUACCUGUCAUCUAAGGGACAAGGAAGGAAUGGGUUAAUGGACACACACUGUGGGGAAUGGGUUUAACUCAGAGCCCAGCUGUUACGUUCACACAUGUCAUCAGGCAAAAGAAGGCCUUUGCUGGAGUCGUGCUCCUGGGAUACCGGUAUGUUCACCCUCUCCCUGCUAUAGACUUGAUCAAAACCGUGUGUCCAGAGUCACCUUUGACCUGCCUUUGUUGCUAUACAGAAGGUUGGGGCUGCUGUUUCCUCCCCAUGAUCUACUCUGGCACAAAAUAUGGUUUCUCCCAGCCUUCCUGAUGGCUGCAGGCGCUUCCUUUACCCUGUGUGCUUGGCAGGCUCUUUAUCUUGAUCCUAGGAAAGCAAAGGCAUUUGCUGAGUCCUCAUCAGCCUGCUAGAGGCACCAGCCACCAGGGUUCAGACUUACACAGAAAAGCCAGUGGGAGCAAAUCCACUUCAUCCUGCAAGAACAGCGGGGCCUGGCCUUGUUUGCCCAGGCCAGUAUGGCUGGCCCUGGUGUAGACUCUCCCUACUCAUCAUGGCCUGGCCUCCUUCCUGCUAGGACCUUCGAAGGAGGCUAUGGGAAGAGCCGCCUCCACCUCCUCAGAAGCCUCCUCAGCCUGCCUCUGUCCUUUCUAGCUUAAACCAGUUGUUCUAGACAUCUCACAUCUUACAUAAACUGAGGUGUUCCCGUCUCCAAGUCCCUGGCACCACAGGGUGACAUACCUUCCUGCUUCACUGCCUAACCUCAACCCUGGCCCUCAUCUGUCCACAGAGGUUUGAGUUCCCUGGCUUCAUUCCAGUUCCUCUCUGGAGCCGGUGGCACCUCCAGCCCUCAGCCACUUGAGCAAAUGCCAAGUCACCUACCCUGACAUCAGCAAUUACGCCAAGGGCCAUUAGGUUCUCAGCGUGACUAUUUUUAGAGAUCCUGUGUCUAUCAGUGUGACAUUUCCCCCUGUGGAAAAAACGUGCUUCCUUCCAUCUGCAAUAGCUGCUCUGACCCUCUUUUCACCUCUAGCCAAGAAACGGCCUUGGUCCCCUCGGAUGUUUUGCCCAUUGCCUGGAGACUACUUGGGCAGGAAAGACCAGGCCCCGAAGAGCCUCCUGCACCCCCACACUGCCACAGUUGCUUGACUUUAAGUGUGAGAUUUGCCUGAACUCAGUUCUUACAUUAUCCUUCUUUACCCCUCCAUCCCCAAAUCUCAGUGAAGAAGUACACCCUGACUGAAGGGCAUGCAGGACAACCACAGCAGAGCCAGGCAGAUGGCACACACAGCCCAUCCCAUGAAGAGAGACCAGGCAGAGAGCCAGUUACCAAGCACCCAGGUAACCAUGAACAGCUGCAGCUGGAAGGCCCGUUGGGAGGAGGGGCCCUCCCAGUUUUUUACACAAGGUCAAGAGGGAAGAGGGAUAGGUCCCCCUCCACCCUGUCAGCUUACCUUUGCCAAUGUCCCUGGUUUGGCAGCCUACUAGUGUUACAGGUCCCUAGACCUUAGCACAGCUGACUCCAUGAUAGAGUACCUUUCAGGCCUUGAAACUCAGCACUUGGGCAGCACCACCUGCCAAAACAAGAACAAAGACCUAAUCCAUCAAAGUCCAUAGUUGUGGGAAAGCCUCUAAUGUACUAACUUGCUUGUUUGGCUUCUGGAGUUCUGCUUCUGGCUAACUGUUCCUGCUAACUGAAGUAUGUCAACCCACAGACACCCAGUAUAGCCACAGGCUGGCUAAUAAAGACUUCCUAUUGGCUUCAAUCCAUUUCUUAGUAGUCUUCUCUGGUGGGUACCCCACGACACUAGAGCAGAGAGGCCUGGCUCCAGAAGGGGUCAGCCACUCACUUGGGAGCUCCCCUAGACUUCAGCCAGAUGGGGUGAAAGAAGUCAAACUGCUGAGGAAGGCCUGGGCAGGGACAGCGAUGCCUGGACCAAUGCUAGGGAUGACUUCAGAACCUAGCUGAGACAGGAAACCUCCUCUCCAAAGAGGAAGCCAGGGUCAUCUGUAUCCACCAAGCUCAGGGACCUUGUGUGCACACAUGCUUGGUCACUCUCAGUCACCCCCCCCCCCGACACACACACACACUUAGGUGUUAUCCUGCAAAGGUGGUCCCCAUGAGUCACUAUGCCAUUAGUGUCCCAGCAUGACACACAAGCUAGCAAAAGAUUUUAUGCUCCUAGCAGAGAGAGGGGAUGGGUUAGAAAACAACAUUCAAGCUGAGGGCUGGAAUUUCAGCUUUUGUGAGCCCUUUUUACCUGUUGCUUAAUUGGAAGUGGGUGACACAGUUUCCCUUUCCCAGGUUCUCUCUGUCCUGGGGGCCAGGACGCACAGUUGUACUGCUCCUGCAUCAGUACAAUGGGAUGUUAGAGAUGGAAACUUCUCUGAAGACCCAGGGUUCACAACAUUAGACCUACAGAAAGCCUUCCAGGGGUCCAGACAUGGGCCAGUAAGAGGUGUCUUCAGGAGAGCAAGCCCCACCAGCCAACCCAACACUGAGCCUACCUGAAGGGUAUCCAGGCAAGCCAAAGCCAUGGUGAGGGGGAAUCACCUUAAAAGCUUCAGGAGAUUACAGAGUCCAACCUCCAAGACUGGAACAAAACUGAGAGUUUGAGAAUGUGGGGUUGGAGAUGGACUAGGGAGUCCCUGGUUCUGCUUCCAUCCUAGUCCCAGCUCACCCAGAUCGACAGGCUCAUCCACUUCUGUGGAAAAGAUGUCAGGGUUUGAGUCGGUCAUGCAGGGCCCAGGUCGGCACCUGUCAGUGGUGCCAGGCAUAUAGGAUCUCAGGCAGUGGGCCCAGACCGGAUGUGUUGAAGUAACUCUCUGCAGGAGUAGGUAGGGGACAGGAAUCGGGACAACCCUUCCGAUAGGGCCUGUGCUGUGACUCUGGGACAGACAGCGAGUGGAGCCACAGCUACCUAAGGGAGGGGCCGGCAGAGCCUCACUCUAGACGCCACUCUGACCGAGUCCCCCAAGCUGUCCAUCUGUGCUCCAGAUGGCGAGGUGCUUUCACUUCUGCAUCUCUGUCCCCAGCAUCACAUGGCUCUCUUUUGAGCAUUUGCCAGGGAGUCGUCCAGGAACACCUGCAGAAUGGGCUGCAGGCAGGAAGCCAGCACCUAUUCAAGAUCCCAGCUCCUGACCACCAGGGGGAGCCCUUUGCUUAUGUGCCCAGAUUUUAUAAGCCCAACCUUAGCCAUCAGCUCUGACUGAUUACCAGCCAGAGGCUCCUGGAACCUGUAAGCCAAGCCUCCCUCCAUCCUUCCUUCUUCAGUCCCCAUCUUCCCUCUGACUGCCUCCCAGCUGUUUGGUUCUCAGGAGUCCUGAAGAGCAGGAGGAGCUCAUGGAGCUCAUGCUGCUGGGAAGACCCCUAAGUGACUACUCAGCACCCUAAGUUUGGCUUGGUUUAUGUAAACACACACACACACACACACACACACACACACACACACACACACGUACCCGCGCACACACGCGCGCUUAUACUCGUACGUGAGGAGGGAAGCAUCUCAGGUUCUCCUAGGGAAGGGUCACAAAAGGAUGGAUUAUGGGUUUCAGUAUAAGACUAAACCAGCCAUCCCAGUCAGGGUCCUCUGGGAGGUCAGUAGCCUACAGUAGACCCGCAGGGUUCUCCGCUGUGUUCAUGGCCUCCAGCUGUGUGAACACGUAGACAGUCAGACCUGCAUGACCUUUCCAUUUAGGGUGUGCUGUUUGUUCUGGAUGUGACAGUAGGGCUGUCUCUGCAUGUGUGCUACAGCUAGGUGUUUUUAGCAGUGGAAAACCUCCCCAGACACAGGGAUGGUCUGAGCCCAGAGAGACUUCAGACGGCCUGGGAUAGGUGAGUGGGCAUGGAGGGGCCCAACAGGAGGAAAACAUAAGGUAUGGUGGGAGCAUAGAAAACACGGAGAGACUAUGUACCACCCACAGAACACGCAGCCACAUGGGCUCGAGGAGACCCUCUCCACAAAGCCCUGUGAGUGGCUGCAGCUCAGUUUUACUCACCGGGAGCUCCUGCCACAGGAAAGAUGCAGGCAUGGGGAGGGGCUUUCCCAGGACCUGAAGCUUCCAUGACUCCUGUUCUAAUGGCAGACCUGGGAUUCACAAUGCUCACUGUGCAGCUCUCACACAGCAUUAUUUGCCUUUCCGGGCCAAUCCUGGUGCCAUCCAGAUUACUAGUGCCAUAAUCACCCGGUCUGUGUUAUGCAGGGGUUGCCUUCAUUGAGCCCUGAGCAGUGAGUGCCCACCCUGGCUCCAAGUCGGCACCUUGCGUACCAUCUGGGAGGACAUGACUCCUGCCUCCAGGACAUACAGCCUCAAGCCGACCACACAGGUAGCCCUGGGCAGAGGCACCAAGCUGUUUGCUGUUGGCAUAGUACUUGUGUCUAUCUGCCUCCACAGUCACAUAGUGUAAGGCUGGCCUCUUUGCAGAGGAGAAACUAGAGUUCAGUGAGGUCAAGCGAUGGCCAGGAAGGACCCGGCGAAGCACUAUCAAAAUUCCACCCCAGGCCUAUUGAGGAAUCACUCUACACGUAGCAAAUAGCUUGCAGGGCUGAAUCCAGAGUCCUGACUAUGACUCACAUGGCUCACAAGGCUCUUUCUGAGUGGCCAUGUUCCUCAUUUCUUCCACCCUGCUCUGGUGAAAGGAAGCUUUACUAACACCAGCCACUUUGCUUUGCCUGGACCUGCCAAUCACAUUUGCAUCCAAUGGGGGGCCAUUUCUCAGACACCCACGUGGCUAGAUCUUGCCCUGGACUGCAGAAUCCACGGUCCUGGACAGAGCCCAAACUGUUCCUAACACCUCUGUGCUUUAUCUGCUCUGCUUUCACACAGGUACACGGUCUCAGCUGCUUGUGUGAGCGCUGGAGCCUAGGCUGCCUGGUCUCUGUUGUCCUCUGGCACCUGCACCUGCAGGUGUUCACGCUACGCCACAAGUGACUAAGAUGGACCGUGUGCCUUAUGCUCAGUGUGCGCACACCUUGUGCCACGCUGCUGAGCCACCGCCACACUCUGACCUCAUGUGCUGUGCUGUCCUCCCCUCAACCCUCCUCUGGCUACACAGCUCCUAAAAGCACCAGUCUCUAACCGUGACCAUCAUCCUCCAAUUCAGUGAAGGCCUCUGAGCAUUGGGCCCGUGAGAACCAGUGUAAGUUGGAAGCCUGAACACUGCGGAGGCAGAGAGCAAGGUUAAUUCAUGAGAAAAGGAAGGAGUGUGAAGACGGAUGCCAGGAGGGCCCUGGGAUCAUGGGACUCUGGAAUUUAUCGAAGGGCUAAAAUGAACAGUAGGUCAUCCAGUCCAACCCUGCUAGGCUAUCCCCGGCCCCUGAAAAACCCUACAGUGCUCAUGCCCCACCAGUGUCAGUCCUGUAGCCCUGGCUCCUAUGUAGCAGGCUCACUGAGGUGGCAGAGAAGCUUGGCUCUCCUUGAUGGGUGGGUCUGAGAAGGGUAGCAACACAGAAAGGGAACAGGAGUGUGCCUCCUUCCAGUGGGAGAAGCAGGACCUGCAUCCUGAGGCUCCAGCGUCUCCAUAGUGAGCAUCUUUCUCCACCGCACGGGAACUCAGCUUCACCUUCCUCCAGAUCCCAGCAUGCCACACUUUGCCCAAGCACCCUCAGUGGAAUAUAGGCUCUCCACUCUGGAGCCCAGGAAAAGGUGGGAGGACAUGGGACACGGACAAUGCCUACAAGAUGUCAUAGAGGAGAGGAGAGGAGAGAAGGAUGAUGGCUCCAUACAAGCCUUGGCAAUUUCUGGGAUGAUUUAUUAAGUGGGGGGUGAUUCAUAAGCACUGAGAAAAGAAAAGGGGAGUUCUUGGGACCAGCACGAACAUAAAUCAACUGUACCUCCUUUUGACAGGAAAUAUACUAGAUUAGGGGACCAGAGAGACACCACACAGCCAGGAUUUUAUUGCUUAUAACACAGUCCCAUGGACAAAAUGCAGCCAAUGUGCACAUGAAUAAGGAAAACUGCAAGCCCUCUGUGGUGAUUUGAAACAUAAUGGCCCUCAUAGGGGGUGGUACUCUUCCACAGACAAAACCAUAAAAGAGCUGUGAGGUAAGAAAACAAUCUACCCUUUUAUCUCAUCAUUUCUAUACUAUAUCACCCUUUUUUCCUUCAGAAAGAGACCCUUGAAUCUAACUCCUUUGUUUAACUGUUUUUCCUGAUCAUAACCAAUAACAAUUUGUAACCAACCACCUAAAUGAUAACAAACAUGUACAACCCAUCGAAUGACCAAAAGCCAGCCACCCCACCUCUUGGGAAUGUGGGCAUCGCGUUCUGUAGACUGUUUCCUGUUGUCUGGGAACACUGACAUCUUUAAGAGAUGCUGGGGAAAAAAUGGGAUAGAGGUCAAGUCCUGGGAGAGGUAGCUGUAUUAUUUGUUGUCCAGUCUCUGUGCAAUGGAAAGGUGUAAAGCUCCUCUGAAGUUCUGGCUGGAAUAGUCUGUGAGGCUGGACCAUCUCAGCCAGCAGCCUUGAAGCUGUUCUGGAUAUGGAACUCUGAAGAAACUGCAACCGAGGCCCUCUGAGAGGCUGGGUCUCUUGGGCCACCCAUCUUCAUUUGUGCCGGGUCCCCUUGCUCUAUCUUGUAGUUUUUCUAGGCUUAUGCCUUUAUGUCUGUAGCCAGGAUUUUCAGGGGGUCUCCCCUGUUCCAAUCGGAUCUCAAUUAACUUGAAAGGAACCCACAGCCUUUUGUUUCCUCUGGAAACAAAAGCAUAACCUCUCCUGCAAUGCAACAUAUUGUCUGACUUCUAUUUUGAAGUUAAGACAUUUUAAAAAUAUAUAAGAUGGUUUAAUUUAGCAUUUCCAUAAUCCAAUAUCUCUCAAUAGCUAUUGUUUUUUCUACAUUAGCCUUUAAAAAAAUCAAAGUUAACAAGACACCAUUGAGUAUCCAGACUCCUUGUGUAUUUUCCAUCCUUAUGUGACUUUAUUUUUAUUACUUUAUUCUCUCUUUAAAAACUUUAUUAUUUUUAAAUUAUUUAUUUUUCUAUGACUGUCUAUACCUAUUUUCCCCUUAAGCCUAUGCACACUGUUAAACACACUGUAACUUGUUUAGAAAUUUGUUUUUUUUUUCCCAUCUGAACCUGCUUUACUGUGUAUCUGUAACCUUUUCUGUCAGCAUGAGCAAAACCUUAAACCGUCCUGCAGCUUAGCUCAUGGUGUGGCUCAAGCCCUCAGGCUGCAGCCAGGAAACAUGUCUCUGUACCUCAGCCUGCAUGAGAGACUGAGGGGCUAGGAAGCUUCAUUUUGCUCCAGUUUUGCAUACUUGUGUAUUUGGAACCUUUUUUUAUUAAGCUUUCUUGGGUCUUAUGUGGAAAUACCUGCCUAGACAUUGGCUACCAUUUGUAGGCAGAUUUUUCUGUCCCACCAACCAACUCCCAAAUCACGACAUGAGACUUAUUAUCAGUUGUAAAAGCUCAGCCAAUAGUUUAGGUGUGUUUUUAACUAGCUCUUACAACUUAAAUUAACCCAUUUCUUUAAUCUACGACAUUCUUUUAGGUGACUUGUAAUCUGUAAAGUCCAUGCUGCUUCCUCUGCACCUGGCUGGUGACUCCUUGGGCCUCUAUCCUUCUUCUGUGUUCUCUCUGCCCCCCAAAAUCCUGACUAGCUGUUUAGCUUUCUAUUAAACCAAUCAUAGUGACAUAUAUUCACACAGCGUGUGAGGGAAUAUUCUACAAUACAGUCGAAUCUCUUUGGCCCCACACCAGCCAUCAAGAGAAGAUAGGCCCCGAAUGAGGAAGUGUACAGACCCUCUGCCUCCCAGACGUCUGGCAGUGGCUGCUAAGCGGUCAUGUUAGGAAGAAAUCAUGUGAUACACUAAGCUAGAAUGCUGAUUAAUGAAGUCGACAGGCAGUGUGUGAGCAAUGUAUGUGCCUGGUGACCCACUUAAAGGCGGGCUCACUUUCAAGCUUAUAACGGAGGUUAUAUGCCUGGAGCGCAGUUGUCCAGAAAUUGUUGGAGGAAGUGUGUGGACAGGGUCUACUCCAGUUUCUGCCAAUCCAUCUUCUACAGGCCCUGGGGGGAGGCUUUCCAAGCAUCCCUUUCCUUCCCCUCUCCACUCACACUGUUCAACAAGGAGACUGGGUGUGUUUUUAAAACCCACUCACAGGGAUUUGGGGGAGCAGAGGGGGAUUCAUCUGCCCCCACAGCAACUCAGAUCAAUCGAGGAGAAAAACGAAGGGUACACCAACGGCCACAGCGUCCCAUGGAUGGCACAUCUGUUUUGACAUGGUGUGACCUUGGGAAAGCACCAUGGACAGUGCUUCAAGGUACAGAACGGGAAAUCAAACCUUGGCUGAAGACAUGGCCAUGAAGGCAUGCUUUCAUGGAUAGCUAGCACGCCUUUGCCGGCUGACAGGCCUGAGUUCUCAGCUCAUGCAGGCUGGGAGGCCUGAGCCUCAGAGGAAAUCACGUACUCCUUCAUGAGUAGACAGGAUGUCAGAGGAACUGGCCUCUGCAAUGCAAGGGAGUAGGAGAGGGAUGGCCAGGAUGGGCUGAACUGCCUAACACCUGCCUCCAAAGAUGACUUCUGUUUCUUUCCCUAGGGGAAUAUUCCCAUAAAGCCAGACAACUCUGGUCACUGCAAGCCCGCCCUGGCCCAGGACACAUGCUUCCAGCAUGACAGGUCUGAGAGACAAUGGGCAGGGAGAGCUGUCUGCUCUCCACUCCCCACCAGGCUGCUGGCGAUCCUGACCUCCAGCCAGGGGAACCUGUGGUUCCAGCUUUCACCUUCUCAACUCUCUGGAAACACAGAACGGAUUUGCCAACUCUUCAGAUUGCAACUGUUGUUGCAACCUUGAGGCAUCAGGGAGCUUUGUGUCCUAUCAUUUCCCCAUUUAAGGACCUCAUAUGGAACUCCCGGAUCAAACUCCAAGUCCAAGCCCGCUCCAUGGACCCCAAGUCCGUGAUCUCAGUUUUUGGCUCACAGCCCUGCUCACUCCCACACCUCCUGCUCUAGAGCACCCCCACAGCAAGCAGAGAACCCAGAGAAAUGUGAGGUACACCAAACCACAAAGAAGUUCUACACUCAAGCUCAGCAAACUCCUACUCCACAGCCCAUCAGGGCCCCCAGCCCCACCUCAGCCCGUAUGUAAGGUGUCAAGUGCCAGAAUGGGAAUGGUCCAUGUGCCAAAAAUCCAACACUUCCCCAGACGAGGGUAAGAGCGAGGUCACAGCCUCGAUGAAGAAAUGUGAGCAUUUCUCAGGGUUUCAUUUUUCAUUCAAGCCAAGCACAGUCAUCAUCUGGGGCUGAUGGCUCUUGGAGGGCGAUCUCGUCUUGCUUAUGUACCACUUGGGGAACAUUAAAUACCAAAUAACCACAAAGGAGGCUUCUAACUUUCCUAUGAUUAAUGGCAGGUUGAUGUACGGCCACCAUAAGAUGCAGUGAGCAGAAAUGAUCUGAAAAGAGAAGAGCUAACACUUGCUCAAUGCUUGUUGUGUGCAGAAUGCUGUUUCCAAGUCCCGCAGGAGACACUGUUAUCAUAAUUAAGAAGAUGAAAACAGAGGCUUACAGCAGUUUAGCCACGUGCCCCAGGUUACAGCGCAGGUCAGCGGUGGCAGACUUGAGCCAAGGCAUUGUCCUACAGGGGUAACUUCCUUUGCCACAUCAGGAACACCCCUUCUACAGCCACAUUUGGGGAAGGAAGCGCCAGGGAGUCAGCCCGGGCUUUACAGCAAGUCCAGAUUGAGACAGUGACCCCAUUUCCGCCCCUGUUGUGGAGAGCUUCCGGGAAGAGGUAGAUGUUAACAUGGUGAAGAGGAUAUGGCGUGGAGAAGGAAUGGGGGCUCUGAUAUACAACCUUAGAUGGCCUGGGCAAUGACUUGAGCCCCAAGAGGGACCUGAGUCCACCUGCCGAGUACAUCACAUGGAGUUUGAGGUGAAGUCCUCCCGUGUGAGGUGUGGUGCGGGCAUCCAGGCAGGAGACCAAGCCUUAGCUCAUGUGACUUUCCACCAAAGACAGGACUGUUCCUGGACAGAACUGGAGCCUCUGCAAGGGAACAGCAGUCACCACACAUAAUCAUGCGAGGUGAACAAGCUUCUACUGCCAAUCAGCUCCCACCACCGCCUGCUGGGCCCAAAGCAAUGUGCUGUGUGACCAAGAGCUGAAUCAUCUGAAACUUAGCCAAGCAGACCUCUUCUGUUUUCCUUUGGGUUGAUUGCCUCAGGUAUUUCGUCACAGCAAGAGGAAGUAACACAAGUCAAACACUACCAAUGGCAGCAGCAGCCCUGCUCACCUCAGCCGCCUCUCUCUGCACCAGCAACAGCAUCGUUUUCACCUCAGAGCUUCCAGUCAUGCCCUUCUACCUUUCUGGAAUAUUAUUUCUUACUCCUAGAUUUUUACCACAAUGGGAGAUUUCUUUAUACAUCUCCUCAUCGAUCCUUCUAGAGGAAGCCAACGUCCCUACUACAAGCGUCAUUGUAUGCCAUCCGGCCUUCGGAAAUGGUAACUUCAUAGAAGCUGGAACCGUAGUCCUGGGCUAGAACCCUGGCUUUGUCCCCUGGUUAAGUCUCUUGGUCUUUCCAUGCCUCCGUUUCAUCAUCCACAAAGGUUAACUAGCAGUACCUUCUCACGCAGUGUUGUGGGUGGAGUCACCUAAUGAAUGACACAGCCAGCCAAACACUCACUGCCACAUCACUGUGGAUCUGAGAUUGAAGGGACCAGCUCCCCUUUCGGCAGUCAUAGCAGCCGAACACGUGCUUGUAUGACCUUGUCCUGGACACUAGAAAGUCAGAUGCCUGCCUCGUGACAAGGAACGAAUCAGAAGUUAGCUGGUGGCGCUAUGCUUUAAGACCCUGGCUGUACUUUACGGACAAGCACACAGCAAUGAUGCAAAGCAUAGCAACCACCCUGGGAGGGCCUAUGGGCCAUAACAACCAUUUGGCCAAUCAACACAGGGCAAUCCCUCCAAGGCUGGAGGUACACCAAUCCUGAGCCUGUGCGUACCCCUAGACACUCCCCUUACGCUGCCCUAUAAGAUCUCGGUCCUGUGGCUUCUCAGAGUCUUUUGCGAGCCAUCUGCCAAGGCGGGUGGGUGAAAGACCGGAGCUAACAUGGGGUUAGCUCGUUAAAUUACAAUAAAGCGUCAUGCAGUUUUCAGCAAGCUCUCGAAUCCGCCUGGUGAUUGGGAUGACCGCGGUCAUGGCCUGGGACCCCUAACAAGAUGCUGCAUAAGCAAGUCUGCUGCGUGGCCCAUUGUAAGUUCAAGAGCUGGAGUGUGACAGAGCAACUCCCUACCACAGGCAAAGCCCCGGGCUCCAUCUCUAGCACCACAGAAAUGUAAACAAAUGAAGAUAAGUAAAUAAAUGAGCCGUGUACUUACUGUGUGUGGCCUCUUAGUGUGAUCAACGCACACCAUGAACCUGAGAAGAGUGGGCCUGUGACGCUAACCCUGCACACUGCACAGGAGACCCCAGUAGGCAUGCACACUAGAAUAACAGCAGCAAGUAGAGAAUAGUAAUUGCAGAAGCCAGCAAGUCUGCUACUGUGAUCCCCGCAUCCUGUACUGUGCGUGGCUCAUUUAUUUACUUAUCGUCACUUGUUUACAUUUCUGUAGUGCCACACACAGUAAGUCACUACACCUUGCAGGUGUCCACAGUAUGCUUUCAUGACCAUACCAAAAAAAAAAAAAAAAAAAAAAAAAACAACAUGUGAAGAUGCAUUUCUCGAACCUAACCUGGUGUUGAGCAAGGCAUGACCGUAUUUAGGCCUGUCUCUCCUGCCAGAACAUACUCUCUAGAUAGCUGUAGAUGCCAGUCUGUGGCUGUAACCAGACCUAAGUACCGGGCCCUGGGCACCCACCUACACCAGCGUGCUGAGGCAGUCCUGGCUAAGGGAGUCAUCAAGGAAAAGACUCCAUCCAAUGGGAGGAAGUGCACUGAGGCCUGGGGGACCCGCAGGCAGCCUGGGAGCAUUAUGGAGUGGUGCUCUCUCACACUCGUGAGAAGAUGUGUGAACUGACUGCUGUCUGGACCCCCUUUCAGGAAAUAAGCUGGGGCAGCUCCUGCAGGGUACAUGUGUGGAAACAGAAGAAGCCUGUCAAGUCAGGGUUGGUCCUCUACUAGGGUAGCUGGUGGCUCUUUACACCUAUAAGGAUGUCUCUGGACAUUUGACAGUUCUACAGGAUGUCCCCAAUUGAUAGAUGGGUGUCUCUCACCACAGGUUCAUGGAUCUGAUUAGGAGGUCUGGGAGGGCUGGGUCCUCACAGGAACUAGGGUACCUGUGAGUGGAAACCAAAGCCUCAGGGCAGUGGCAUGGUGGUGCUGAGGAGAGGAACUGGUGCCUGCAUAGUGGCAGUCUGUGUUUGGGAGUGGAGGCAGAGGGUACCUGGAAGCAGGCUAGAGGCUCAUGGGAGAUUCGGCUCUGGUGAUGCUGGGUGGGUAGAUAGAAGGCACUGGCGGGCAUAAGAGGAGAGUUCAGAAGGUGGCUCAUAUGCUAAACUCCCUGUACACAUUAGCUCAGCUCAACCUCCCGUGCUCGGAGAAACACAGAAGAGGCUGGAGGAGGAGGGAAUCACCAGCGUGGACUACGAAGUCCAGGAAAAAUGGAGGCCACAAACACUGCGCAAGGACCAAGAACUGGACUGAUACAGGCAAGACAAUGGCCACUGCCUCUAAGAAAAGGGGUGUCCGUGCCGCGCUCUCCCAGGUCAGUGUGAAGGGGCCAGAAGGAAGGAGGCACACAUGGGGGUGGAGGACGGGAAGGAAAAACAUGCCUCUGAAUUGCAAGGCGCGGGCAGAGUCUAUUUAUAUUGGGUUUAAUUAACUCCGCUCCCUGGUGCCACUAAAGCGGCAAUCACACUGCAGACGGCACUGAUUUGAUUGGCAAGAGAUGCGCCAGGCAGAAUAUUAAGACACCAGGCCCCUAUAAAUAGGUCUAAUCACAGCCCCUUACUGGAAGACGGUGAGGAAGACAUUAAUCAGACCUGGCACCCACCCCAGACUUGCUCUUAGGUGCCGCAUCAGGCCCCUUGGUUGCAAAGGAGGUGUGAGUGGGGUUGGGCUAAGUGUGGCAGGAAGGGCUAGGAGGUUUCAUUCGGGCUUCAAGUGCUGUGCGACCUUGAUUAAUUGCUUGCCUCCUCUCAGCCUCUGAUUCUUGCCACCUCCCACUCUGCAAACUGGGAACUGGCAUUGCUCUCUGAGAAGGUAUUAGCCCCAGUAAUACAAAUGUAUGUAUUAUGGAGAGCAUCUCACUGCAACACCUUUACCAAGUGGGAACUUGUUCUUGGCUCCUAGUGUGGCUUUCCCAAGUUCUACCUUCUGUGCCUCUGGCUUCUUCCUAUGCUCCUUAGGCCAACGUUAUUCCAAUAGGAGUCGACGGGAUUGGUCUGGCCUUCAACUCUGUCUCAGGGGUGAGCUCUUCCCUCAAACUCCCAUUUCCAGAAACUUCUUGGCUUCCCAAUGCUGUAAGCACCCAUCCCUUCCCUCUUUUCAGGUCACCAAGGUGUAACCAAACUACUCUCCAACCAUCCAAGGAACCUAAGUCCCUGAGUCUCGGUGAAGAACAGUCCUUGCUGUCCAUCACGGUGCUAAGCCUGCUGCAAAUCUGCCAUGCUGACUUAGUUUGUGUCUCGAAGCUGUAGUGUCUGAAAGGGGGAAAUGGCAGUGAUUUUCUGUGCAUGGCAUGUCUUGGGAUGAACUUGUUCGCCACCUCAUCUGGAUGUAUGUGUUCACUCAGGCUUACUCACCAAGGGGGAGUGCGGACAUAGCCCCAGACCAGGAAGCAGCAAGGUCAUUGGAGAGUUAAUAAAGAUACAGAUGGCCAGUGGCUUACUGUUCUGUCUGUGAACAUCUACUGCUCAGCAUGAUCUCCACAGGCUGAAAAAGUCAGAGUACUAGGCAGGUGGAGCACCUCCAAAACAAUCAACUCCCCCUUGAAAAGCACUCUAAUCCAGCUGUGCGUGCAGUGCCAAGGGAAGCAAGAAAAGCCUCUUAUCACAAUCAGCACCUUUCCCCAAAGCCUGGAGAGAGCACAGAGGGCAUUCUGGGUAGAAGAAACUGAAGUACUCCCACCUAAAUGGUAAGGGUGAGUACUCUUAGGGCAGUGCGUCCUUGGGGAAGUCAAUGGUGAAACACUGUGAACAGAAAGACAUGAGCUUGCACUCUAGCCACAAGGGGAGCCCCUCACAAGGUCAACAGUGCCCACUACAGUGCUUCUGUGGAGCAUGGGAGUGUGGAUGUUCAGAACUGUGCGUGUCUUGGUUGCCUUUCCCGAUACUGUGAUAAAAUCUGCGGACGCUAGGAACUUAUGGGAGAAAGGGUUUCUUUCAGCUCACAGUUCAAAACACAGACAUGGUCAAGGCAGCAGGAGCUUGAAGCGAUGGCUCAUGUUGCGUCCACAAACAGGAAGCAGGGAGCAACGGAUGCCAAGGCUCAGCUCGCUCUGUUUUGUAUAGUCUAGGAUCCCCUCCCGGAGAAGGGUGCUGCCCACAGUUAAGAUGGGAUUUCCCACGUGCAUUAAGUCAAUCAAGGUAAUUCCCCUCCACAUGGCCAGAGGCCCAUCUCCCAGGUGAUGGCUGACAAGAAACAGAACCACCACCAAGAUCUGUAAGUAUAAAGUGCACACCCAAACCCAAACCCAAAGCCCUCAUUGGAAAGGAAGGUGUCAGUUAUCUCCUGAAAUUCCUACUGGUGCCGUGUUGAAAUGACAUCCCAGAUAGAUUGGUUAAGCAAAGAAUACUGCUGAUUUCACCUGUGUCUUUUCACUUUCAGAAUGACUCAUAGGGAUGACGUAGCCUACUUCCCUUCUUUUCCCUCAACACCUUUAUGGUUGUAAAAGAGUGCAUCUUGUCUUUGCAGACAAGAGAUCCUAGACUGGGUCCUGGCCUAAGGAUCAGAUCGUAAUGUUUUCAUCUUUUUGUCUGUUUCUUGUUUUGUUUUCAGACAGGACCUCACUUUGCAGAGGAGUUUUCAUGGCCUUUAUUGAACGGUAGAGAUGCCACAGCCAAAACCCGUGUGCUCGGCAGCUCAUGAUAACCUUCCAGAAUUGUAAGCACACCAGUGUAAGCACCUCCAUCCCAUGAUUUGAAUUAGAUGCCAGGAAACUGCACAAAAAGAAACUCCCCAAACUGUAAAGUAAUUCUCCCCAGAGGAAUCCCCCACCCCCACACCAUUACCCUAUGCUACAAGACCACUGCCCUAGCUCAGCUAGCUGCCCUGUUAUAGUAUGCUCUGUAAAUAGAGUUCUUAAUUGGUCUAGGUAAUAAAAAAAGAGUCAGAUAUAGUGGAAAAUGCUGAGAGAUCAGAGAGAGGAAGGAGCAAACCACCUACACAUUACCUCCUUAGCGUCUCAGCAGACAAGAACGCCAUUUCCUGUUUCUCCCUGCUAAUAUCCUGUUUCUGCCCAGCUACCUCACUUCCUAUCUGUCUGUACAGACCUCCAGUCCUCUAUGGUUAGCUAGUGGAAAGCUCAAUUCUCUGACCUUCAGACAGGCUUUAUUUGUACAAGCAAGAUUAUCACCACAGUGCUCAAUAAACAAUUCUUAUUUUUCUUUAAAAUAUAAUUUCACUCAUUGACUGUCAAUCCCUAUUAUCAGCUACCCAGUCCUCUACAUAAAAUAUAUAUAUAUAUAUAUGGAAGAAAAAAGGAAUCUAGUCUAAGCCCAUCUUUGAAGCAAGCAUUUUCUAGUUACUUUCAAUGGUUUAUCUUCACAACAAGCUCUGGAGUGCCAUAUGUAUUACAAUUUACCUUUAUUAGGAGAAACACAAGCUCAAGGGUGGGUGGGGGAGACUCAUCUAAGGCUAAUGGAAAUUUUGUUACUUGUUGAAAAGAAACAACAAACGCAAUGAAAAUUAAAAGUUAAACAUGUAUGACAAGCUCCCUUCUGUGGAGCUGGGAGCUAUAAGAAACCCCGACUCCUCCGUUCUGGGCCAGCUGCAGUUCAUUGUAGGCCUUUGAUGUUUCCUGCUUACUCAUUUUCACUUUUUCAUGCAUUCCACAAACAAAUGUUCUUGAGUCAUGCUGUUCCUCACAUUCUCAUGAGAGCCAUUUCCUUCCGAAUCCCCUAGCCUUGCUGUUCUUAGAACACACUUCCCUCUCCUGAAGACCACUUUCCUCUCCAGCAUUAAACUUUACCGAGAUGCCUUGCUUCUCAAGGGGAGGGGCUGGCAAGACGGCUUAGUGAGUGAAGGUGCUCACAGUCCCAUGGUGCAAGCCUGACAACCUGAGUUCAUCUCCGAGACCCGCAAGGUAGAAACAGAUAAUCAAGUACCCAAAAGUGGUCUUCUGGUCUCCCUGUGUGUGCCAUAGUACACACAUGCAUUUACACACACACACACACACACACACACACACACACACACACACACACACACACACACACACUAAAUAAAUUAAGUAAGAAAAAUAUAAAAGCAAGAUUUAAAAACUAAGGCAUAAUUUGUUGACUUGGAUACUUUAUUAGUAAGAAAUAAAUGAUCAUUUUAUUUAAGCCC